UUUGAUCAUGGCUCAGGACGAACGCUGGCGGCGUGCUUAACACAUGCAAGUCGAACGGGGACCAGGGGCAACUCUGGUUCAGUGGCGGACGGGUGCGUAACACGUGAGGAACAUGACUUUCGGUGGGGGAUAGCCGGCCCAACGGCCGGGUAAUACCGCGUACGACCAUUUGGGGACAUCCCCGAGUGGUGAAAGCAGCAAUGCGCCGAAAGAGUGCCUCGCGGCCUAUCAGCUAGUUGGUGGGGUAAUGGCUCACCAAGGCAACGACGGGUAGCUGGUCUGAGAGGAUGGCCAGCCACAUUGGGACUGAGACACGGCCCAGACUCCUACGGGAGGCAGCAGUGGGGAAUAUUGCGCAAUGGGCGAAAGCCUGACGCAGCGACGCCGCGUGGGUGAUGAAGGCCUUCGGGUUGUAAAGCCCUGUCGCCUGGGACGAACAAGCUCGUGAAGAACGAGCUCUGACGGUACCAGGAGAGGAAGCACCGGCUAACUCUGUGCCAGCAGCCGCGGUAAUAC
rnacentral:rRNA from 1 species